UAAUACGUAGGGUGCAAGCGUUGUCCGGAAUUAUUGGGCGUAAAGAGCUCGUAGGCGGUUUGUCGCGUCGGCUGUGAAAACUCGGGGCUCAACCCCGAGCCUGCAGUCGAUACGGGCAAACUAGAGUGUGGUAGGGGAGACUGGAAUUCCUGGUGUAGCGGUGAAAUGCGCAGAUAUCAGGAGGAACACCGGCGGCGAAGGCGGGUCUCUGGGCCAUAACUGACGCUGAGGAGCGAAAGCGUGGGGAGCGAACAGGAUUAGAUACCCUGGUAGUCCACGCCGUAAACGUUGGGCGCUAGGUGUCGGGGACCUUCCACGUCUUCGGUGCCGCAGCUAACGCAUUAAGCGCCCCGCCUGGGGAGUACGGCCGCAAGGCUA
rnacentral:rRNA from 1 species